AAGUUUAGGAUAUUUAAACCAAGGGCCUUCAAAGCCCUAAACAAAGGGGCCUUCUAACUUCUG
rnacentral:tRNA from 1 species